CUCAGGAUGAACGCUGGCGGCGUGCUUAACACAUGCAAGUCGAACGAUGAACUCCAGCUUGCUGCGGGGAUUAGUGGCGAACGGGUGAGUAACACGUGAGCAACCUGCCCUGGACUCUGGGAUAAGCGCUGGAAACGGCGUCUAAUACUGGAUAUGAGCUCUUACCGCAUGGUGGGGGUUGGAAAGAUUUUUUGGUCUGGGAUGGGCUCGCGGCCUAUCAGCUUGUUGGUGAGGUAAUGGCUCACCAAGGCGUCGACGGGUAGCCGGCCUGAGAGGGUGACCGGCCACACUGGGACUGAGACACGGCCCAGACUCCUACGGGAGGCAGCAGUGGGGAAUAUUGCACAAUGGGCGGAAGCCUGAUGCAGCAACGCCGCGUGAGGGAUGACGGCCUUCGGGUUGUAAACCUCUUUUAGCAAGGAAGAAGCGAAAGUGACGGUACUUGCAGAAAAAGCGCCGGCUAACUACGUGCCAGCAGCCGCGGUAAUACGUAGGGCGCAAGCGUUAUCCGGAAUUAUUGGGCGUAAAGAGCUCGUAGGCGGUUUGUCGCGUCUGCUGUGAAAUCCCGAGGCUCAACCUCGGGCCUGCAGUGGGUACGGGCAGACUAGAGUGCGGUAGGGGAGAUUGGAAUUCCUGGUGUAGCGGUGGAAUGCGCAGAUAUCAGGAGGAACACCGAUGGCGAAGGCAGAUCUCUGGGCCGUAACUGACGCUGAGGAGCGAAAGGGUGGGGAGCAAACAGGCUUAGAUACCCUGGUAGUCCACCCCGUAAACGUUGGGAACUAGUUGUGGGGUCC
rnacentral:rRNA from 1 species